GACGAACGCUGGCGGCGUGCUUAACACAUGCAAGUCGAACGGAAAGGCCCUGCGUUUGUUGGUUGCUCGAUUGCCGAACGGGUGUGUGAAACGUGAGUAACCUGCCCCUAUCUUACGGGGAACAUCAGGGAACUGGGGCGAAUAUCGCAUAUGAUAUCCUGCAGCGCAUUGUUGGAUGGUGAAAUACGGCGGUUGUGGAUCGUCUAGCUGGUUAUGAGCUUGAUAGGCGGGUAGUGGCGUACCAAGGCUUUGAAGGGUAGCCGGCAUUAGAGGGUGACCGGCGACAUUGCGACUGCGAUACGGCCCAGACUGCUACGGGCGGCAGCAGUGGGGAAUAUUGCACAAUGGGCGGAAGCCUGAUGUAGCAACGCCGCGUGCGGGAUGACGGCCUUCGGGUUAUAAACCGCUUUCGCCUGUAACGAAGAGUGAGUGACGGUAAUGGGUAAAGAAGCAACGGCUAACUACGUG
rnacentral:rRNA from 1 species